GUAAGGGGGCGAGCGUUGUUCGGAUUUACUGGGCGUAAAGGGUGUCUAGGCGGCACGUCAAGUCGGAAGUGAAAUCCCACGGGCUUACCCGUGGAAUUGCUUUCGAAACUGGCGAGCUUGAGUACGGGAGAGGAGAGCGGAAUUCCCGGUGUAGCGGUGGAAUGCGUAGAUAUCGGGAGGAACACCAGUGGCGAAGGCGGCUUUCUGGUCUGUAACUGACGCUGAGGCGCGAAAGCGUGGGGAGCAAACAGGAUUAGAUACCCUGGUAGUCCACGCCGUAAACGAUGAGUGCUAAGUGUUAGGGGGUUUCCGCCCCUUAGUGCUGCAGCUAACGCAUUAAGCACUCCGCCUGGGGAGUACGGCCGCAAAGGCUGA
rnacentral:rRNA from 1 species